rnacentral:tRNA from 1 species
GUCACGAUAGCUCAAGUGGUAGAGCAGCGGCGUGUCAAUCCGAAGAUCGUGGGUUCGAAUCCCGCUCGUGCCG